CGGGUGACACAGUGACAGAGUGAGGGAGCGGGUGACACAGUGACAGAGUUAGGGAGGGAGUGACUAGUGACAGAGAGAGGGAUGGGGUGACUAGUGACAGUCACCCCCCUCACUCUGUCACUAGUCACCCCUUCCCUCCCUCACUUUGCCACUAGUCAUCUCUUCCCUCCCUCACUCUGCCACUAGUCACCCAUUCCCUCACUCUGUCACUAGUCACCC